UGAAACAGGCUCCAGGCUCUGAGCUGUGAGCACAGAGCCCGACACGGGGCUCGAACUCACAAACCGUUGAGAUCAUGACCUGAGCCGAAGCCGGAUGCUCAACCGACUGAGCCACCCAGGUGGCUCUGUAUUUACUUACUUUUUAAAUAUGCAACAACGUGAAUCCCGGCUGACUUGUAGGGUGGGUGAUUGGUGUUUUCCUCGUGUAUGCUUCUCAAUUCUUUACAUGGGCAUAUUUAAUAUCCUGGAAGAAAAUAUUUUUUGAAAAAGCUUUGGAUUGCACUGGUUAAAAUGUGAUAACUUGAUUGAAAUACAAGUCUGUUAAAUCCAUAAAUACAGAUGCAAGAAAGACAUUUUUAAUUUUCCAGUGACGAGUGGAGAUAUUUGAAACCCCUUGGUGUUUUUUAAGACGGAAUUCUCUUCUACAGAAUUAAGUUCUCUUUGUUUAAAUGUGUUCUUGGUUUUCAAAUUGAAUAGAGUCCCUGGCACAUACCUGUGGUUCUCAUGAUGUAUGUGCAUGUGCUAACUUCAUUUACAGACAGCAGGGAGAGACGGGGCCUCUAAUGCAUCUUUCCCAAUAAAAGGGCGUAGUCACAAAAAUACUUAGUCUGAUAGUUUCGUAUAUGAAACUCGGUCACUUACGAUAGGUCCGCACGAAGGACAAGACUAAAGCUGUGGUGAAAUAAUUUAUAAGAUACAUGCAGUCAUGUGCUUAUGAAGGAAGUAAUAAAACAGUGAAGACCGUUUAGUUCAGAUUUCCAAACCAGGAAACUGUGAUCUACAUUAGGCAGAGAGCACGUUAAUUCAGUGGAAAGGGUUUUCUUUAACUGAACUAUUUUUAGUGUGGACAGUCGAAAUGAUCUAUCGCUUUGAGCUUGAAACACAAGUUGUGCGUUUUAAGAAGUAAAAGGCAACACGGUGUUAGGUACAGAUAUCGUCAAAUAAGGCAAGCGUCGCAGCGAAUGUGGGGGGACAUCACACACCUGCCCCCGUGUGCCUCCCUGUGUUUGCUCAUUGAGCCUGGGAAACUGAGACGGAGGUCAUAGUGGACCUCAGCACACCCUGAGCCAUGGGACCACAAGCGGUUUUUCCUCGGGACACAAGCAGCUCCUCGCUACAUGCAGGGGUCCCGGGUGAACGCUGCCCUUGCUUGGUAAGGUGCACAGCGACAGGCAGUCACUACCCUACCGAUGCCUUUGUGUUUGCAAGUUACUUGGGCAACUCGGAACACAAGAGAGAUGGGAUUAGGAAAUGAAGAAAUGCCCACGUGAGGUGGGGCCCCACGGUUUUGCCUGGCUUCUCCGUGGUCUUUGUUAUUCAAAUAUCCUGUUGUGUAAGUACAAAGACAGGAAGUGAGUUCUACAAACCCUUACAACAGCAGCAGUCUUGGGUUUCAGAUAAGUAGGUGUGCCUAGUGCUUCGGGAAUUGAUACAUAUUUAGGUUUUUUUGUUUGUUUUUUGAAAAUGCUGAAAAGUACUACAUUUUCUCUGGGCAAAACAUCUUUGGUAUUUCAAAAAAAGCCCUGACAUUACUGUGUAAAUAGUCUCGUUAAUAACUGCCUCUUGGGCCUGUCCCAGACUUUAAUUGUUUAGCUUUGCGCUUUAUUUGUGUCUCUCUCAAAACACUGCCGUGUGUCUUCGGAGGUGAGAGAGAGGUGGAGCCAGUGAGCAGCACAGAGUAGGCUGUGCGUUGUUUUUGGCCCCGGGGCUGCUGGUUUUCCUGGGGAUCAGACCCCCUGGGCGUGUGUGCGGGGAGAGGGACCCCCUUGCUCUGUCACCCGCGGGGCUGGCUUUCUGCAGAAAGGGGGCUGCGGUGGGAGGGUUUCCUCUGCUGCUCAGGGCCCACCCCUUCCUCUCUCAGGCCCAGAAGCCCAAGAACCCCCAUGUGAGCCUUAUUCACUACUCUGUUCCCAUUUCCGUGCACUGGUUGUAUUUUGGAUUGCAGAGUUUGGAAGUCUAAACAUCUUCCCGCACUGAGGAAUACGCAAGGAUUUUGGUUCAGACUCCAAGUUAGGAAACACCUACGGAGUUUGUGUGUUCGUAAGAAAAACUGGAUGAAAUGCAAUAAAAUGGCGGGUUGUUUUUGGGGGGGUGGGUAUGGCUGUUAUUCAUUUUAUCGACACACAGUAUUUUAAGUGAGACUCCCAGGUCGUGGGAUUGGGAAGCGGCCCUCCUGAUUGUCCCGAAUGAAACCUUGAACUGAGAAUAGGGAGCGUGGGAGUUUGGGCUUUUCCAGUAGUUUCUGAGCUCUGGACUCCGGGAUGGGGCAUGAGUUCCCGGCUCGCCUCCGCCCCCUGCCUCCAGUGGGCCUCGAAGACGCUUCCCCUUUCUGCUCCUCAAAUAAGCCUCGGCCUGGCCUCCCUGCUCGGCUUUACCCCCGCGGCCAGCGGGCCGGUGAAUGAGUGCACAGUCUCCUGCUUGGACAUAGUGAAUGUCCUUAAGCCUCAACAAAAUGACUAUCGCGUCUUUAAAGUUUCUCUUAGAAGGGUCACCACAUUCUGAGGAAGUUCAAAGAAUAUAAAAUCGAACGUUCGGGGAGGAAAUCGGCUACAUUUUGCUCUGGUGUUUUCAGGCUGGCGAUGGGCAUUUAGCGCAUUAAUUACGCAAGACCCGCUACAUUUUAAAAGUCAUUUGAAGAUUUGGGGAAGAGAUCCAAAGUGUUGCGAGACCGACGGCCUUUCAUGUUGAAUCAAGACGCUUCCCACUCACAGAAGUGCUUCUGACCUAAGUGGAAAUUGAAUUCAGGCCCAGCAGCAGACGGAGAGCAGAACUGGACUGACCCAGCGAGAAAUCUGGCAAGUGUCCUUGGCCUGUUCUCCACUUUUCUGAAAACACAGGCGCCAGGAGAGGUUUCCAUAGCAGCUUCCAAAUUGGACACCAAACUUCGCUCAGCAGGACAUUGACAGUUUUCCAUUUCUCCUUUUCCACGUUUCGUCACUUUUCUUGGCGUCCUGCAGUUUGUAAAAGGUACAGAUGGCGGCCGCCAUGCUUGCGGGCGCUGAAGGACCGGGUCAAGGUAAGGACGGCCCCUGCUGGGUCUGCUCAGUCCCAGCCAGGCUGCAGGAGGAGUCGGGGGGCAGCGAAGGGGUGCCCCCAGAUGUGCGCCUGCCUUUCUCGUGCAGUGAGUCAAGCGCUGUAGAUGCCAGGGGCCCCAGCUUCCUCAUGACAGUGGCCAGGCCGGUGGGGGAGCCCCUGGUGUCCCCUCCAUUUUCUUAGUGACACAGUGGGCAAGACCUGUCCCUCUGCCACUGCAGGGACGCCUGUGUUUCUCAAGUGCACAGGGCUGAGUUCCAACUCACUGCCUCCCGGAGCCUCCAGGGUCCCAGACCCCCUUCCGAUCUUACGCGCAGGUCGUCCCUGGUUCGCCCUCUGUCAGGACUGGGCAGGACAGUGCGGCGGGACACUUGGGACAAAUAGUUAGCAGGCCGAUCCUGGAGGGCCUGGCUCCUGCCCUCCUCAGUUACCUGCCUUGCCGUUGGCCCACGCGGACCCUGAGCCAACCGGCCCCUUUCUGAAGCCCAAACCAGGUCCUGGGAGCCGUGGACAAGUCUGUCCCCUGGACAGACUGCAGACCCAAGCUCCGCUUCUGGGCGGCCCCAAACGGCCGUAGUCAUCCUUUGUUUCUGCUUCUUCGCCCACCUCGCUGAAUCUCCGUCAGUCUCCAGAGAAGUCUCCGUGCCUUCCCCAGUUCCACCAUGCUGCCCAAUGACAUGUCUGCAGGUGACACGCUGGCACGUUGUUAACAGGAACAGAGUUGACACCAACUUUUACUCUCCUCUCUCCUCCUCCGAAUCACCUGCCUUUCUCUCCCGGCCUUGAGGGGCGGUGCACCCCUCUACUGCUGAGGUCAGUCUGUCCUGGGUCCUUUUCACCAUCAUCAUCUAUGGUCAGGUCAUUUCCCACCCACUCAGUUUUUAUUCUUCUCUUGGUCGACACGCGUGUCCACAUUCUUCCAGCUGGAAAACCGGCCACAAGGACCGGGGAGGGCGUCCCAAAGCCCCUGAGCGCCCGGCGCCUCCUUACCCUGCGAUCCGGCUGCGGAGACCGCACUACCGCGUGAACCGUGUGGCAGAUGGACGGCAGGUGCUAAGGAGGAGGUUCACGCAGGAAGUGUGCGUGGGUGCGCGGGACGCCCCUCAGAACACACGCGUGUGCACCCCGAAGAUGACACCCAGGCCGCUGACCCAGGAGCAGCUUCUACUGCCUUCCUUGUGCCCUCGUCCGUUUCCCGUACUUUCCCCGAGCAACACGUGAACACACGGCGACUUUUAGCGAGCACUGAGCUAAGAGCUGUAGUGCGUUGGCUCAUUUAACUUUUCCAGCUGCUCUGAGGAUUGUCCCCUUAGGACCCCUGUCUUAUAGACAAGGGAGCUGAUGCUUUGAGCGCCCGAGAGGCCUCCGGAGCCGACCGCCCCCCCCUCCCCCCCCCAGUGCUCUCACACCUGUGGCUGUGAAGCAGGAGCAGGUCCCCAUGGCCAGGGCUGCUGGGACGUACACCCGGAAGAAUUGAAGGAGACGGGAUGGGCGGCAGCAGAAGGUGGGCGAAGAGCCCUGAGCAGGGAGAGCCCUCACAUGGACCCAUCACUGGAAGUGGGCGGCGUCUAGGGGGCCUUCGUAAGCUUGCUGGGCAGGUCCCUCCAGGCGAGGCGACUCUCGGAGGCGUCCUCAGCUGUAGGCUGUCACCACCCUGGAGGGGUGAGGGGUGAGGGGCUUCAGUUCCGAGGGGGAUCUGGAUGGCCCGCUGUGUGCCCACGACAAACACCCAUGGACUCUCGAGGGCACAAUCAAAUCUCACUUCCCCCAGGGAGCGUUCCUCGAUUACCCUGAUCAGGAUGGGCCCUAACGACCCCACAAAAAUACCUUGUGCCCGCUGGGUGAUUACCUUCUCCCUUCCCCCCGUCGGGCCCUGGUGAUCUCCAAUCUGUCUUCUCUCCUGGACAUCGCCUACAAGAAGAACCACGGUACGUGUCCUUCUGUGCCUGGCCUCUUUCACUGGGCAGAGUUUGUCAAGGUUUGUUAGCACUGCAUUUUUGGGUCUCCCCCAAAUUUAUGUGUUGAACCCUUAACCCCCGGUGUGAUGGUAUGAGGAGGUGGGGCACUGGGAGGUGAUUGGGUCAUGAGGGGGAUCGGUGCCCUCAUAAACCACGGGGAGCCAUGGGAUUUUUGUCCGCCUGGGGAGCACACCGCGAGGAGGCAUCAUCUACAGGCCAGGAAGAUGGUCUUCACCAGAUCCGGGCUCUGCCGGCACGUCCCUAUCAGACUUCCAGCCCCCAGAACUGUGACAGAUACGUGUCUGUUUAUUCAAGCUGCCGUGCCUGGGAUACUGUGCUAGGGACGCCUGAGUAGAUUAAGCAGGUGCAUCCCGGGAAGUGGUUCGGGACCUGGGAGCAGCUACAGAUGCACAGCUACCUUCAGUAGCAAGAGUGAUGGUUAUCGUAUAAAAUUCAUCAUCCAGGAGCACCUGGGUGGCUCCCUCAGUUGAGCGUCCGACUCUUGGUUUUGGCUCAGGCUAGGAUCUCGCGGUCCGUGGGUUCGAGCCCCGCGUCCAGCUCUGUGCCGACAGCUCAGAGCCUGGAGCCUGCUUCGGAUUCUGCGCCUCCCUCUCUCUCUGUCCCUCCCGCGCUCACACUCUGUCUCUCUCUCUCUCUCUCUCUCUCUCUCUCUCAAAAAUAAAUAAACAUUAAAAAAAUAAAAUAAAAUUCUUAAUCUGUACCUCGGCCAUCAAAAGGACAAAGCCCAGAUGAUACGCUGCAUAAAAUAAUCACCACCCUUGUUGCUGAAGAGAAUUGUAUGUUCACACCUGCUCCCUGGCCCCACACUGUGCCCUUGGCUGUCAGAUCCUUGGCUCUUGGGAUCUCUCACAUUGGCUCUUGGGAUCUCUCUUGGGAUCCCAAUAUUUUAGGGAAAAUAUUGAAAAACAGGUAGCAGUAACCGUUUCAAUAUUUUAGUGUAUGUAUUUCUUUUAUUUCAAUUGUUUGUUAAGUUUCAAGCGUGCAAUAUAGUGGUUCCACAGUGUUUCUCAGUGCCGGUCACGAUAGGGGUAUGCUUAGUCCCCAUCACCCAUUUCACCCACCAUAUGUCUUAUUUUUAAGGAAAUAUAUACAUCCACAUGAUUUGUCAUAAAGUUCAGCUCCCACACAUCCUGAGGAGUUUUAUAGCAUCCGAACUCUUUUCGAUACUCAUGGGAUAAAGCCAUCGUCAGCUCGGUCUUAUUGUCAAAUAUCCUUUCUUUCUCUGCUACAGGAAAUGUGUUUCUUUAUAAAAGGGUCAGUUGAGGAAAACUCUCACUUAUUCUCGUCCUUCUGAUGAAAUUUUCCAGUUCAGAGUCCGCUGCACCCGCACCAGAAUGCCAUAUGCUUGUUAGCGCAUCGAGUACCUUGAGGCUAUGAUUAGGCACCUGCACCCCGUUUCUUAAAACCUCUGCCUUCAAAAGUUAUGGGCAGAAGACAGAGGACCUGCUUCUGUGGCUGAGCUAUGUGACUCACUGUGCCCCUGGGCCUUGAGAGAAUCUGCACCCAUGAAUCGGGGAUGCGGUUGGUGUUUCUAGAAGGUCACAGGACAUGGCUGUUCUUCAAGAUUUGGCAGGGGGGGCAGGAAUCACUCUGAGUCUCGUGGGGGGUCCUGGCUCUUCUGACCACUUGUGCUGGGGGGUGCUGGCCCGUGGGGCAACCGGCUGAAACCACAGCAGCCUGGAGACCAAGGUCCAAGCAGGGGGACAGCAGAGGCUGUCCGAGGAGGAAGGGCCUCCCGUGUGCUUCUAGACCUGGCUGUCGUGGGGCGAGGGCCACGACGUCAGGCCUGUAGCAGGCCAGCUGGCAGAGGUCCCCAGCUGCCACCCGAGUCUUACCUCGUUCUGGUCUGGGGGACACUGCUUGUCGUGGCCUGACAUGUUUGGAUCUGUUAAGAGGGAACCUUUUUUCUCACAAGACACAAGAACAAAGCGUGGGAUUAGUUUUACGUGAACUUGGAUGUUCCCAUUUAGCUGAUAGGAAAAGCACGGCGUAGCGGCUAGAAACAGUGCUGGCUCGCCCACUCGGCACCUGUUAGUAGCCCUGCUGGGCCUCAGUCUCUCCAUCUGAACACAGGGACGACGAGGGUGCCGAGGCACCCAGGUCCACGAGCCUGGUGUGAGGCUUAAGCCAGAUAAUGUUUUUAAGGCACUCGGGACAAUGCCCAGCACAACGUAAGUGCUACAGACAAGUUCUGUGCAAUAAGCCCGUUCAAAAAUACACACCAAAGCGCGUUGACAGGUGUCAGGAAAGGGGGCAGCGACUUGACCUGCCGUGGGGAGAAGAUCAUCUCCUCCCGCGCCCUCAGCGUAUUCCCUUGUAAACCGGGCGUGAAGCACGCGUGUGUGUUCGUGGGCGUCCCUCCGGGGGUUGUGGCGCUCCGAUCGUGGGCGCCCACUGGCCACUCGCCCUGGAAAAAGUCAGCCAAGGAGGUCAGCAGAGCACGGGAAGGAGGACCUCAGGAAACAGUGUGUUUUCUGAGGCUGGUGGGUCAAACACAACUGGCUCUCGUUUGCUGGUUUCUGUCAGCGACUGUCUUCCGUGGAGCCGACAGGCAGCCUGACAGGUGCAAGAGGAGGUCUGUGUCCAGAACAAGACAACCUCAGGUCACUUCACGCCCCUCCUGGGAAGGCGUUCGCCCGCACGUGGGGGCCCAGUGGUACCAGGAUCGGCCCUUCCCCGGGGCACGGCCGCCUCCUCUCAGCCACGGUGACCACGUUGUAGAGAGAGCAGGGCACGCAUGUUUGACACUGGCCAACGCAUGGAUCCCAAGUGACUGUCCCAGAGGUGCCUCUGUUUACCGGUGAAUCAUCUCUGCUGAAGCCGCUGAGAAUUCACAUCCGAGGGAAGAAAGCUGUCCAGUCCCAGGUAAUUCGUGGAACGCUACUUGACGGAAUUUGCUUAUAAUAUUAACAAUUCCUGGGGCGUCUGGGGGGCUCCAUCAGUUAAGCGUCCAAUUCUUGACCUCGGCUCACGUCAUGAUCUCGAGGUUCAUGAGAUCGAGCCCCGUGUCGAGCUCUGUUCUAACAGCGUAGACCCUGCUUGGGAUUCUCCUUCUCUCCCUCUCUGUCUGCCUCUCUCUCUCUCAGAAUAAAUAAAACAUUAAAAAAACAUUUUGAAUAUCUCCCAGGAAAAUACAGCAUUUAGGAGCUUUGUAAGUCCGCACGAAGGCAACAUUAGAACUUCACACAGAGCACCCCAAAAUGAGGUGCUGGGACAGGGAGCAAGACCAGUGUCAUCGCAUGGGCUGUGGCUAUCAGUUUUGAUUGCUGGUUAACUGAGGGUCCGGGCCGUGAGGCAGUCAGGGCGGCAGGUCUGAUGGGCAUUAGAGACGGGAGAGUCUAGCACGGUUACUCUGUAAUAUUCAACAGAAACUCCCACCGCCAGGACAAAGUCGACAACCAAGGCUCCCGCGGUCACCGGCAAGCACUGCAAACACUCCAGGACCUGGGGCCAGUGACUGAGAAUAGUGUCCCUCUGUCACAGAGCUGGCCACUCUGGAGGGCAGGCCGACAUCUGGACGCACACAUUGGGUCACGGGCAAUGUGGUAAGUGAGGACACGAAGGGGUCAUGCUGUGUGGGAGAGCUGGGAAGGCUUCUCAGGAGGAUGGCCAUCGAGUGGGCAGGCAGGUCCCAUCCUAGUGGCCACAGCAUUGGUGCAGAUGGGUACGUGUCCCGGUGGUGCUGUGGGGGAGGGGCAGAAGGGACUCGUCUCCCUGGCUGGGGAGGAGGAGGUGAUGGGGUGUGGGUGGAGGGCAGAGACUGAUGGACGGCAGGGCUCUGUCUGGGACAGGGAGAGACGGCCCCAACAGUUGGGUUUCCGUGUCCUUCUCCCUCGUUCUAGCCCAAGGCCAUCCUCUGGCCAGCACACAGCUGGAGUUAAUAGCCAGCUGUAUAUAAUCCACGUAACCUCAGCUGGGCUAAGGCCAGCUGGGGUUAUUUCGGAAUUUCAGUAAAGUAGCCACGAAUCAAAAUGGUAUCUGUUUACUCCACUUGCCCCUAAGGAGAUACGAUCACGUUCCCUCUGGUCCUGCUUCUGUGUGAAGGUCCGUGUGACUUCAAAAUCAGCUUUAAUAUGGGCAAAAAUGGGGGCCCCUGGGGGGCUCAGUGAGCUGAGCAUCCGACUUCGGCUCAGGUCAUGAUCUCACAGUUUGUGGGUUCGAGCCCCGUGUCGGACUCUGUGCCGACAGCUCGGAGCGCGGAGCCUGCUUCGGAUGCUGUGUCUCCUUCUCUCUCUGCCCCUCCCCCGCUCACGCUUUGUCUCACUCUGUUUCUCAAAAAUAAAUAAAUGUAAAAAAAAUUUUUUUAACAUGGGCAAAAAUGUUUGAAACGUCAAGAUGGGUAGGACAGCGAGCAGUCUCAUCUACAGGUAUGACGCGUUUCCACGUCUGAGUGCAGAUUUAGGGGACACUAAUUAAAUUGGCUAAUUUUAUGUGUGGAGCAAAAUGCAGUCCCCACGUCCCCCCUUUUCAUCUUACUCAUUUCCUAGGAACUAGAAAAUUACAUAGCAUUUAAUUUAAGAGUCAAAAAAAAAAAAAUAGCGAGUGAGGAAAAUAGGUCCAAAAAUAGAUCUGACAUUUUCAGUGUAUUUACAAGAAUAGGCGGUUUGACUUUUUACCGUUCCGUUAUCUUUGUGCUCCGAGCACUAGAAGAGCGGUCCGAUUCUGCGUUGGAAGAGACGAGCGUUUCACUUGACGAUCCCGUAGAAAGAUGACGUCCUCCGCUUCCGCAGACCUAGUGGUUUCUGUGAGACUCCCGGCCGAUGGGCGUUAGCGGGUCACAUAAUAAGUGGUAAGACGUGAGCAAGUGAAAUUUCUCCCAGAACGUGGCUCCUAGCCCCUCUGUGGUUUGAAUAUCUCCGCGUGCACAAGUAUCUUUGUUCUCUCUGAGUUUGGA